rnacentral:rRNA from 1 species
ACGGGUGAGUAAUGUCUGGGGAUCUGCCCGAUAGAGGGGGAUAACCACUGGAAACGGUGGCUAAUACCGCAUAACGUCGCAAGACCAAAGAGGGGGACCUUCGGGCCUCUCACUAUCGGAUGAACCCAGAUGGGAUUAGCUAGUAGGCGGGGUAAUGGCCCACCUAGGCGACGAUCCCUAGCUGGUCUGAGAGGAUGACCAGCCACACUGGAACUGAGACACGGUCCAGACUCCUACGGGAGGCAGCAGUGGGGAAUAUUGCACAAUGGGCGCAAGCCUGAUGCAGCCAUGCCGCGUGUAUGAAGAAGGCCUUCGGGUUGUAAAGUACUUUCAGCGGGGAGGAAGGCGAUGGGGUUAAUAACCCUGUCGAUUGACGUUACCCGCAGAAGAAGCACCGGCUAACUCCGUGCCAGCAGCCGCGGUAAUACGGAGGGUGCAAGCGUUAAUCGGAAUUACUGGGCGUAAAGCGCACGCAGGCGGUCUGUUAAGUCAGAUGUGAAAUCCCCGGGCUUAAC